AUUGAACGCUGGCGGCAGGCCUAACACAUGCAAGUCGAGCGGAUGAGUGGAGCUUGCUCCAUGAUUCAGCGGCGGACGGGUGAGUAAUGCCUAGGAAUCUGCCUGGUAGUGGGGGACAACGUUUCGAAAGGAACGCUAAUACCGCAUACGUCCUACGGGAGAAAGUGGGGGAUCUUCGGACCUCACGCUAUCAGAUGAGCCUAGGUCGGAUUAGCUAGUUGGUGAGGUAAAGGCUAACAAAGGCGACGAUCCGUAACUGGUAUGAGAGGAUGAUCAGUCACACUGGAACUGAGACACGGUCCAGACUCCUACGGGAGGCAGCAGUGGGGAAUAUUGGACAAUGGGCGAAAGCCUGAUCCAGCCAUGCCGCGUGUGUGAAGAAGGUCUUCGGAUUGUAAAGCACUUUAAGUUGGGAGGAAGGGCAGUAAGUUAAUACCUUGCUGUUUUGACGUUACCAACAGAAUAAGCACCGGCUAACUUCGUGCCAGCCGCCGCCGUAAAAC
rnacentral:rRNA from 1 species